rnacentral:rRNA from 1 species
GAUGAACGCUGGCGGCGUGCCUAAUACAUGCAAGUCGAGCGAACAGACGAGGAGCUUGCUCCUCUGAUGUUAGCGACGGACGGGUGAGUAACACGUGGAUAACCUACCUAUAAGACUGGGAUAACUUCGGGAAACCGGAGCUAAUACCGGAUAACAUGUUGAACCGCAUGGUUCAACAGUUAAAUACGGUCUUGCUGUCACUUAUAGAUGGAUCCGCGCCGCAUUAGCUAGUUGGUAAGGUAACGGCUUACCAAGGCAACGAUGCGUAGCCGACCUGAGAGGGUGAUCGGCCACACUGGAACUGAGACACGGUCCAGACUCCUACGGGAGGCAGCAGUAGGGAAUCUUCCGCAAUGGGCGAAAGCCUGACAGAGCAACGCCGCGUGAGUGAAGAAGGUCUUCGGAUCGUAAAACUCUGUUAUUAGGGAAGAACAAAUGUGUAAGUAACUAUGCACGUCUUGACGGUACCUAAUCAGAAAGCCACGGCUAACUACGUG